rnacentral:rRNA from 1 species
UACGUAGGGUGCGAGCGUUAAUCGGAAUUACUGGGCGUAAAGCGUGCGCAGGCGGUUUGCUAAGACCGAUGUGAAAUCCCCGGGCUUAACCUGGGAACUGCAUUGGUGACUGGCAGGCUAGAGUAUGGCAGAGGGGGGUAGAAUUCCACGUGUAGCAGUGAAAUGCGUAGAGAUGUGGAGGAAUACCGAUGGCGAAGGCAGCCCCCUGGGCCAAUACUGACGCUCAUGCACGAAAGCGUGGGGAU